AAUGACAAAAUAACACAUACUGAAUCCCAGAUAGAAUUAAACAUACAGUAUAUAUAUAUAUAUAUAUAUAUAUAUAUAUAUAUAUAUAUAUAUAUAUAUAUAUUAUAGUAAUAGUCAAUGAUCUGUUUAAAUGCCAGUCUCUAAACCAGGUCAAUAGGUUAUUCAUCGUUUAGACUCAAAAUUCAGGUUCUUCAGUCAAAUUAGUGGCUCUAGAGCUUCACAGAUAUAGAAUAGUGAUGCUACAAUGAUAAUGUAAUGAUGUUCCAUAAUUACACAUUUAACGUGAGCCAUUAAUGAUUGUUAAAUAUGUAAAUAAUGUAAGGUAAUUUUAGCAGCAUGAUGUUUGUACUCUAGUCACUUUGAGGGAAUAUCAUGUUUUCACAGGCAGAAAUGGAGUCCGAGUCAGUCGCUUUAAGGCCUUUUGAGUUUGUGUGAAAGUCAUAUUAAACUGCGAGGGCAGUAUAUUGACAUGAAUCAGAGUGACAUUUGAUCGUCUUGGUCUUCUCCGGUAGUUCAGAGACAUUCGGCUGUUCAUUUGCACGCACCUGUGUUCAGCUGGAGAGCUGAUGAAACCUGUCCCGUCGGUCCUGAGAUCAUGAGAUCAUGCUUUAUCAAAGCUCUUGGGAUCCAGAGACAGAGAGAGACUCUGGAGACAACCGCUGACCUUCAAAUGAUCACACACACAAUUCUCCAUGUAUUUCAUUAUUAUUUUAAUAAGUUACUACUUUUGGCAUUGCAUUGUAUAGUGUAUUUAAAUACAUAAAUGCAUUUAUACAAUGUAUUUAUAUGUUUAUAAAAAUGAAUGUUUUGAUAGUAUUUAUGAAUGUUAAUAAGGAUCACACGCAGGGUUAUCAGCAGGGAAUUAACUUAUUAUCUUGUAAUAAAUAAUUAAAUAUAACAUUAACAUUAUUGACUGCUAAAUCAUAACAUUAGAUUUUAUAAAGAGUAUUUAUGUAAAACAUUUAGAAUAUAUAUUAAUCUAAAUAUAUAUUAUUAAGUUAAUAAAUAUGAUUAAUGAAAUCUAUUAUCUACUCUUUUUUUGUUACAUUUUAUUAUAAAAAAAAAUAUUAUUAAUACCUAUGAUUAUUAAAAUGAAUAAAACUUUUAAUAAUAACAAUUAUAAUAUUUACAAACAUUUUAAACAAUUUAUUUAAAUUAAUUAAUUAAAUGAACGUUUAUCAUGAAUAAUGAUAUUAUUCAUUAAUAUUUGGAACCAUUUAAAAAUCAUUUAUUAAUAUUUAUUAAUAUUAAUAUAAAUAAACAUGGUUAUUAUAAAAUUUUAUUUAUGAAUGUUUCUGUUAAAUAUGAAAUAAAAACAUUUCGUAAAAUGUAAAUAUUACACAUAUUUAUUAGAUAUAAAACAACAUUUUAAAAUUAUUAAUACAUUUUAUCAAAUAUUUGCUCAACAAUUUAUUUAUUGUUUUACAUUUUCUAUAAAUGUCUGUUGUAAUAUGCAGUGUUUUUGCACAGUGUGGUGCAGAUCUGAAAUCAAAGUCAGCUGCGUUCAGUGUUGCUGUGUUUAAUUUACGUGUGCUUCUGGAGAAGUGUGUGACUUUCUCAGGCUGUUGUGACAUUGACAUGAAUUGUGGCACUCUUGCAGGGGCGAUGGGAUGUUUACGGUAAAACUGAUGGAGCGGGCCAUGUGUACGUGUGUGUGUGUGUGUGUGUGUGUGUGCGUGGCACUGUGCCAUGAGGACGUUGGCACAGCAGUGGCAGAAUCAUCAUGAAAAAUCCCACACAGAUGGAUGAACCUGUGUGUGUGUGUGUGUGUGUUAUGAGGCCAAGGUCAGUGAGCUGUUGUUGUUUACCUGGUUCGCGGGUGGCUGGUACAUGCAGUUCUCUGGCUGAAUGUUUGUUUUAUUCAGAUGAAGGGCAGCAGGUCUCCAAACGCCUGCUUUGGUCCUAAUUUCCAUCAUUUUUAUACAAAAUCAUAUGUUCCUUUAUACUUUAGAAAUGUGUUUUAUCACUGUUGACUAUAGUCAGUAACAACUCUAUCAAUCGUAUGUGUGUGUUUAUGUGACUGUGUGUGUGUGUUUAGGUUGACAUGGGUACGAGCCAGUAAUAAUAAUGUAAGCUGAUCCUCCGUGUGAGAGAGAUCUGCCUGAGGCCUGAUCACGUUUACGGGGAACAGGCGUCUGGUUGGUCACGUGACUCACGUUCACCUCUGGUGUCAGGGCCAAUCAGGGGUCAGCGAGCGCAGACAAUGGCAGGUCUCCCCUCAGACUCGACCGUGUCUCCGCGUCAGCAGAAAAACACAAGAUGUUUGCUGGAGAGGCGCUGAAGAGCCAGCAGUCAGCAGAAAAACAAGGGCCGGCGGCCAACCAGACAGAUGGAGGCUUACAGAGGUCCACAGAGCCAACGCUUCACUCAAACUCACACACAGAAGAGCGUUUGUAAGAUUGUAAGGACAGAAAUACACUGACCUGUCGUGACCACACAAAGACAGCAAUUAACAGCCAGUUAAUGAUGAGUAAUGUCCAUCUCACUAGCUAUUUCUGUGCAGAAUAGUCCACUUUUAUCCUCACCAAGCUGUUUUAAAUCAAUAAAAUGUAUUUAUAAUCAA